rnacentral:rRNA from 1 species
AAAACUUUCAACAAUGGAUCUCUUGGUUCCGGCAUCGAUGAAGAACGCAGCGAAAUGCGAUAAGUAAUGUGAAUUGCAGAAUUCCGUGAAUCAUCGAAUCUUUGAACGCACAUUGCGCCCCCUGGCAUUCCGGGGGGCAUGCCUGUCCGAGCGUCAUUUCUGCCCUCAAGCACGGCUUGUGUGUUGGGUGUGGUCCCUCUGGGGACCUGCCCGAAAGGCAGCGGCGACGUCCGUCUGGUCCUCGAGCGUAUGGGGCUUUGUCACUCGCUCGGGAAGGACCUGCGGGGGUUGGUCACCACCACAUUUUACCACGGUUGACCUCGGAUCAGGUAGGAGUUACCCGCUGAACUUAAGCAUAUCAAUAAGCGGAGGAAAAGAAACCAACCGGGAUUGCCUCAGUAACGGCGAGUGAAGCGGCAAGAGCUCAAAUUUGAAAUCUGGCCCCUCUGGGGUCCGAGUUGUAAUUUGCAGAGGAUGCUUCGGGUGCGGUCCCCGUCUAAGUGCCCUGGAACGGGCCGUCAUAGAGGGUGAGAAUCCCGUCUGGGAUGGGCGGCCGCGCCCGUGUGAAGCUCCUUCGACGAGUCGAGUUGUUUGGGAAUGCAGCUCUAAGCGGGUGGUAAAUUUCAUCUAAAGCUAAAUACUGGCCGGAGACCGAUAGCGCACAAGUAGAGUGAUCGAAAGAUGAAAAGCACUUUGAAAAGAGAGUUAAAUAGCACGUGAAAUUGUUGAAAGGGAAGCGUUGUCCACCAGACUCGCCCGGGGGGGCUCAGCCGGCACGUGUGCCGGUGUACUCCUCUCCGGGCGGGCCAGCAUCGGUUUGGGCGGCUGGUGAAAGGCCCCGGGAAUGUACCACCCUCCGGGGUGCCUUAUAGCCCGGGGUGCCAUGCAGCCAGCCUGGACCGAGGCCCGCGCUUCGGCGAGGAUGCUGGCGUAAUGGUGGUCAACGGCCCGUCUUGAAACACGGACCAAGGAGUCUAACAUCUAUGCGAGUGUUCGGGUGUCAAACCCGUCCGCGCAGUGAAAGCGAACGGAGGUGGGAGCCCUUCGGGGCGCACCAUCGACCGAUCCUGAUGUCUUCGGAUGGAUUUGAGUAAGAGCAUAGCUGUUGGGACCCGAAAGAUGGUGAACUAUGCCUGAAUAGGGCGAAGCCAGAGGAAACUCUGGUGGAGGCUCGCAGCGGUUCUGAGCGUGCAAAUCGAUCGUCAAAUUUGGGUAUAGG